rnacentral:rRNA from 1 species
AAUUAAAUAUUAUAGUCUAACAAAUAAAAAUAUAUAAUAAUUCAAAACAUUUUUAAAUCUAGUAAGAGUGAUAGAAAAUUAUUGAAAAUAAGAUCUGAGAAAAGUACCGUAAGGGAAUUUAAUUUAAUUAAAAAAUAGAAAAACUUAAUAUUUGUACCUUUUGCAUCAUGGUUUAGCUAGAUAUAUAUUUUAUCUAUAAAUUUCUCGAAAUCUAAUGAGUUAUUUUUAUUCAGUAUAUUAGUAUAAAAGAGUAGUUGUAGCAAAAACUUUCUUAGAAAUAAAAAUGGAAAUGAAAUUUUAUUCGUAUUAGAUGAUAGCUAGUUUUUCUAUAAAAGCAUAUAAGUGCUUUAAAUUAAUUUAAUUUUUAUAAAUUAUUUUAUAAAAAGAAUUUAAUUUAGUUAAAUUUUCGAGGAUAAGCUCGAAAAUUAGAAAUAUAUUUGUAUUAUAUUUUUAUUAAAAUUUAGGCUUGAAAAUAGCCAUAAUUUUGAGUUUGUUAUAAUUUAUUAAUUAAUUAGAAAGAUAAUUGAUUUACUAAUGAUUAUAGAAAAAAAUUUAAUAAUUAAAUUAAAUUGUAUUAAUGCUAAAAUGAGUAUUAAAGUAUUUUAUAUUUCUUUAACAAUUUAUAUUAGUUAAAGCUCAUAUUUAUUUUUUAUACACAAAUUAUAAAAAGGAACUCGGCAAAUAUUCAUUCUGCCUGUUUAGCAAAAACAUGGCUCCUUGAAUUUCAAUGAUAAGGAGUCGGACCUGCCCAGUGAAUUUUCAACGGCCGCGGUACUCUGACCGUGCAAAGGUAGCAUAAUCAUUUGCCUUAUAAUUGAAGGCUAGUAUGAAUGGUUUGACAAGAAUGAAGCUGUCUCUUUGUAAUUUAAUAGAAUUUUAUUUUUAGGUGAAGAAGCCUGAAUAAAAUUAAAAGACAAGAAGACCCUAUCGAGCUUAAAAGAAAUUAAUAGAAUUAAUCAAUUAAUAUUUAUAAAAAAUUAUCUAUUAGAUAUUUUAGUUGGGGCGACUGAGGAACAUAAAAAGCUUCCUUUAAAUAGAGAAUUAAAAUCAAACUAGAAUUGAUCCAAAAUAUUUUGAUUAAAGAAAUUAGUUACCGUAGGGAUAACAGCAUUAUCUUUUUUAAGAGCUCAUAUCGAAAAAAAGGUUUGUGACCUCGAUGUUGGACCAGAAUAUCCUAAAGGUGCAGCAGUCUUUAAGGGUUGGUCUGUUCGACCAUUAAAAUUCUACGUGAUCUGAGUUCAGACCGGCGCGAGCCAGGUCAGUUUCUAUCUUUAAUUAUUUUGAUAAAUUUAGUACGAAAGGACCAAUUUAUCGUAAAAUUAUAUUUUUAUAGAUUAAAUUUAAUUCAAAAUUGAAUAUCAAAUUAGCAAAAUUUAAUGCAAUUGACUUAGGAUCAAUAGAUAUAGGCGAAAUUCCUUUAUUUGAUAUGUUAUAAAGAUGGCAGAUAAA